ACUCCUGCGGGAGGCAGCAGUGGGGAAUAUUGGACAAUGGGCGCAAGCCUGAUCCAGCCAUGCCGCGUGAGUGAUGAAGGCCCUAGGGUUGUAAAGCUCUUUCACCGGUGAAGAUAAUGACGGUAACCGGAGAAGAAGCCCCGGCUAACUUCGUGCCAGCAGCCGCGGUAAUACGAAGGGGGCUAGCGUUGUUCGGAUUUACUGGGCGUAAAGCGCACGUAGGCGGACUUUUAAGUCAGGGGUGAAAUCCCGGGGCUCAACCCCGGAACUGCCUUUGAUACUGGAAGUCUUGAGUAUGGAAGAGGUGAGUGGAAUUCCGAGUGUAGAGGUGAAAUUCGUAGAUAUUCGGAGGAACACCAGUGGCGAAGGCGGCUCACUGGUCCAUUACUGACGCUGAGGUGCGAAAGCGUGGGGAGCAAACAGGAUUAGAAACCCGGGUAGUCCCAUGAU
rnacentral:rRNA from 1 species